rnacentral:rRNA from 1 species
AGCGAACGCUGGCGGCAGGCCUAACACAUGCAAGUCGAACGGAUCCUUCGGGAUUAGUGGCGGACGGGUGAGUAACACGUGGGAACGUGCCCUUUGGUUCGGAACAACUCAGGGAAACUUGAGCUAAUUCCGGAUGUGCCCUUCGGGGGAAAGAUUUAUCGCCAUUGGAGCGGCCCGCGUCUGAUUAGCUAGUUGGUGAGGUAAAGGCUCACCAAGGCGACGAUCAGUAGCUGGUCUGAGAGGAUGAUCAGCCACAUUGGGACUGAGACACGGCCCAAACUCCUACGGGAGGCAGCAGUGGGGAAUCUUGCGCAAUGGGCGAAAGCCUGACGCAGCCAUGCCGCGUGAAUGAUGAAGGUCUUAGGAUUGUAAAAUUCUUUCACCGGGGACGAUAAUGACGGUACCCGGAGAAGAAGCCCCGGCUAACUUCGUGCCAGCCGCCGCUGUAAAAC